UGAAUCGAUAAUUAGUAAGAGUAGCUCGUCACGUUCUCAUCGUUGUCAUACAUCGUGAAUACAUAUAUAUUUACAUACUUGUUUUAAUAAUCACUUUAGUCUACUAUUGUACUCAAGAUCCUCAAUAUCAAGAACUUUUUAAGUUGAUGAACUUUAAAGUGUUUUAGUCUAUGUUUUACUUCUUCAAAAUAAAAUCUAUUCUUAAAACUAGAUAAUCAUCACAUGUUCUUUUUAUUUUCAGUGUCAUAUUCGACCUCGAAGUUUGUGAUUAACGGGGCUGAGGUUAAGGCUACUUUUUCCCCAGAAAGAAACAACACUUUAUUGGCCUCUGCACUACUGCUGGAGAAAAGGACAUUAUAUAUUGUUAUUGAUUACCCACGUGUGUAUAAAAUGUAUCAUGUCAGCAAAAGAGAGAAUGGAUAACUUAAACUUUGAUUGUGACAGUUAACUCGGGUAAAGUUACCGUAAACGAGAUAGAGAAAACUAAACUCGAUGUCACUUAGGUACUCCUCGGGAUGUAUAUAUGCAAGCGGAGAGAAGAGAAAGGUCAAUCGAGUUGGCACUUCUUACUAUCUCGACUUUUCUGUAUAUCCAAUUGACACAAUCAAACAGACAUCGCUCGGUGAUUUCAUACAAUUUAUAUUGUUACCCGAAUGUAAAUAAUGCAACUGGGUUGAAUGUUUCUACUGCAACAUUAUAUUGAGCUUAACAUUUUAUUUUUAUGCAUACACACAAAUAAAUAAAGUGGAUGUUGGAUAUAUAUUUGUGGACAGUCAAGAGGAGAAUUAUAGGGCUUAAGUAAACGAGUUGUGCAUUGAAAUCACGUUCAACAGCAUGCAUAUUUAUUUUGCGACGAACCUCAAAUCCAAGGCCUCGUAGACUUCGCAAAAAGUCAUGUGUGCUGUUUUCACACAUGUGGGAGUAGAAAAUGUCAACCGUUAUAUUUUUUCGAUUUAUUAAGUCUGUUUUUAUAUAAAAUAUUCAUAAGCUAGUUUAAUU